rnacentral:misc_RNA from 1 species
GAUGAAGAACGUAGCGAAAUGCGAUAAGUAAUGUGAAUUGCAGAAUUCAGUGAAUCAUCGAAUCUUUGAACGCACAUUGCGCCCCCUGGUAUUCCGGGGGGCAUGCCUGUUCGAGCGUCAUUUCACCACUCAAGCCUCGCUUGGUAUUGGGCAACGCGGUCCGCCGCGUGCCUCAAAUCGACCGGCUGGGUCUUCUGUCCCCUAAGCGUUGUGGAAACUAUUCGCUAAAGGGUGUUCGGGAGGCUACGCCGUAAAACACCCCCAUUUCUAAGGUUGACCUCGGAUCAGGUAGGGAUACCCGCUGAACUUAAGCAUAUCAAUAAGCGGAGGA